UAGAGUUUGAUCCUGGCUCAGAUUGAACGCUGGCGGCAGGCCUAACACAUGCAAGUCGAGCGGAUGACAGGAGCUUGCUCCUGAAUUCAGCGGCGGACGGGUGAGUAAUGCCUAGGAAUCUGCCUGGUAGUGGGGGACAACGUCUCGAAAGGGACGCUAAUACCGCAUACGUCCUACGGGAGAAAGGGGGGAUCUUCGGACCUCACGCUAUCAGAUGAGCCUAGGUCGGAUUAGCUAGUUGGUGAGGUAAUGGCUCACCAAGGCGACGAUCCGUAACUGGUCUGAGAGGAUGAUCAGUCACACUGGAACUGAGACACGGUCCAGACUCUACGGGAGGCAGCAGUGGGGAAUAUUGGACAAUGGGCGAAAGCCUGAUCCAGCCAUGCCGCGUGUGUGAAGAAGGUCUUCGGAUUGUAAAGCACUUUAAGUUGGGAGGAAGGGUUGUAGAUUAAUACUCUGCAAUUUUGACGUUACCGACAGAAUAAGCACCGGCUAACUCUGUGCCAGCAGCCGCGGUAAUACAGAGGGUGCAAGCGUUAAUCGGAAUUACUGGGCGUAAAGCGCGCGUAGGUGGUUUGUUAAGUUGAAUGUGAAAUCCCCGGGCUCAACCUGGGAACUGCAUCCAAAACUGGCAAGCUAGAGUAGGGCAGAGGGUGGUGGAAUUUCCUGUGUAGCGGUAAAUGCGUAGAUAUAGGAAGGAACACCAGGCGAAGGCGACCACCGGCUCAU
rnacentral:rRNA from 1 species